AGGGCAGCAGUGUGGAAGGCAGUGGGUUUGAGUAGCGCAGUGGUUAGAGUGCUGGGCUGCAGUGUGGAAGGCAGUGGGUUUGAGUAGCUCAGUGGUUAGAGUACAGGGCUGCAGU